rnacentral:tRNA from 1 species
AAAAUCCGUCGACUUUAGAAAUCGAGAGG